GGUGUCGUGACAUGGGGUUCUAGGUGUCGGGUUUCGGGGUUCUAGGUAACCUGACUUGGGGUUCUAGGUGUCGGGUUUUGGGGUUCUAGGUAACCUGACUUGGGGUUCUAGGUGUCGGGUUUUGGGGUUCUAGGUAACCUGACUUGGGGUUCUAGGUGUCGGGUUUUGGGG